UCUCCGUUGGUGAACCAGCGGAGGGAUCAUUACCGAGUUCUCGCAACUCCCAACCCUUGCCAACCGUACCCCAGUCUGUUCUCGUUGCUUUUGGCGGGCCGCCCUCGGCUACCGGCCCCGGCUGGUACGCGCCCGCCAGAGGACCCCAAACCCUGUACGUCAGUGUCGUCUGAGUACUAUACAAUAGUUAAAACUUUCAACAACGGAUCUCUUGGUUCUG
rnacentral:misc_RNA from 1 species